rnacentral:piRNA from 1 species
UUUGAUCUUCUGUUUGUUUCCUCAUGGGCUU